UACAGAGGGGGCAAGCGUUGUUCGGAAUUACUGGGCGUAAAGGGCGCGUAGGCGGCCCGCUAAGUCGAACGUGAAAUCCCUGGGCUCAACCCAGGAACUGCGUCCGAUACUGGCAGGCUUGAAUCCGGGAGAGGGAUGUGGAAUUCCAGGUGUAGCGGUGAAAUGCGUAGAUAUCUGGAGGAACACCGGUGGCGAAGGCGGUUAGCUGGGCAGUUGCUGACACUGAGGCGCGACAGCGUGGGGAGCAAACAGG
rnacentral:rRNA from 1 species